rnacentral:rRNA from 1 species
GUUAAGCGACUAAGCGUACACGGUGGAUGCCCUGGCAGUCAGAGGCGAUGAAGGGCGUGCUAAUCUGCGAUAAGCGCCGGUAAGGUGAUAUGAACCGUUAUAACCGGCGAUACCCGAAUGGGGAAACCCAGUGUGACUCGUCACACUAUCAUUAACUGAAUCCAUAGGUUAAUGAGGCGAACCGGGGGAACUGAAACAUCUAAGUACCCCGAGGAAAAGAAAUCAACCGAGAUUCCCCCAGUAGCGGCGAGCGAACGGGGAGGAGCCCAGAGCCUGAAUCAGCAUGUGUGUUAGUGGAAGCGUCUGGAAAGGCGCGCGAUACAGGGUGACAGCCCCGUACACAAAAGCGCAUGUGCUGUGAGCUCGAUGAGUAGGGCGGGACACGUGGUAUCCUGUCUGAAUAUGGGGGGACCAUCCUCCAAGGCUAAAUACUCCUGACUGACCGAUAGUGAACCAGUACCGUGAGGGAAAGGCGAAAAGAACCCCGGCGAGGGGAGUGAAAAAGAACCUGAAACCGUGUACGUACAAGCAGUGGGAGCCCCACCACCAAAGCAUUUGCUGUACCGCGUUGACGGAGCGAAGCGACGUCAAACCGAUAAAACAGCAGUGUAAAGUGAGCCGCAGGGCGCUUUGCGCGACAGCGCAAAGGCAGGCGGUUUCGCGUAGCGAAAGCGAAUGCUUUGGGGUGGGGUGACUGCGUACCUUUUGUAUAAUGGGUCAGCGACUUAUAUUCUGUAGCAAGGUUAACCGAAUAGGGGAGCCGGAGGGAAACCGAGUCUUAAUUGGGCGUUAAGUUGCAGGGUAUAGACCCGAAACCCGGUGAUCUAGCCAUGGGCAGGUUGAAGGUUGGGUAACACUAACUGGAGGACCGAACCGACUAAUGUUGAAAAAUUAGCGGAUGACCUGUGGCUGGGGGUGAAAGGCCAAUCAAACCGGGAGAUAGCUGGUUCUCCCCGAAAGCUAUUUAGGUAGCGCCUCGUGAAUUCAUCUCCGGGGGUAGAGCACUGUUUCGGCUAGGGGGCCAUCCCGGCUUACCAACCCGAUGCAAACUGCGAAUACCGGAGAAUGUUAUCACGGGAGACACACGGCGGGUGCUAACGUCCGUCGUGAAGAGGGAAACAACCCAGACCGCCAGCUAAGGUCCCAAAGUCAUGGUUAAGUGGGAAACGAUGUGGGAAGGCCCAGACAGCCAGGAUGUUGGCUUAGAAGCAGCCAUCAUUUAAAGAAAGCGUAAUAGCUCACUGGUCGAGUCGGCCUGCGCGGAAGAUGUAACGGGGCUAAACCAUGCACCGAAGCUGCGGCAGCGACACUGUGUGUUGUUGGGUAGGGGAGCGUUCUGUAAGCCUGUGAAGGUGUGUCGUGAGGCAUGCUGGAGGUAUCAGAAGUGCGAAUGCUGACAUAAGUAACGAUAAAGCGGGUGAAAAGCCCGCUCGCCGGAAGACCAAGGGUUCCUGUCCAACGUUAAUCGGGGCAGGGUGAGUCGACCCCUAAGGCGAGGCCGAAAGGCGUAGUCGAUGGGAAACGGGUUAAUAUUCCCGUACUUGGUGUUACUGCGAAGGGGGGACGGAGAAGGCUAUGUUGGCCGGG